CCCUUAGAUGUCCUGGGCCGCACGCGCGCUACACUGACAUGUUCAACAAGCCUCCUAGUUCGACAGGAUUUGGGAAAUCUUUGAACGCAUGUCGUGAUAGGGAUAGAUCAUUGCAAUUAUUGAUCUUGAACGAGGAAUUCCUAGUAAACGCGAGUCAUCAGCUCGCAUUGAUUACGUCCCUGCCCUUUGUACACACCGCCCGUCGCUCCUACCGAUUUUGAGUGGUCCGGUGAACCUUCUGGAUUGUGCGGCUUGCCGCGCGAGAAGUUAUGUAAACCUUAUCACUUAGAGGAAGGAGAAGUCGUAACA
rnacentral:rRNA from 1 species